rnacentral:rRNA from 1 species
CCAUGGCGGCAGGACUACACAUGCAAGUCGAACGGUAACAGGAAGCAGCUUGCUGCUUUGCUGACGAGUGGCGGACGGGUGAGUAAUGUCUGGGAAACUGCCCGAUGGAGGGGGAUAACUACUGGAAACGGUAGCUAAUACCGCAUAACGUCGCAAGACCAAAGAGGGGGACCUUCGGGCCUCUUGCCAUCGGAUGUGCCCAGAUGGGAUUAGCUUGUUGGUGAGGUAACGGCUCACCAAGGCGACGAUCCCUAGCUGGUCUGAGAGGAUGACCAGCCACACUGGAACUGAGACACGGUCCAGACUCCUACGGGAGGCAGCAGUGGGGAAUAUUGCACAAUGGGCGCAAGCCUGAUGCAGCCAUGCCGCGUGUAUGAAGAAGGCCUUCGGGUUGUAAAGUACUUUCAGCGGGGAGGAAGGGGUUAAGGUUAAUAACCUUAGCCAUUGACGUUACCCGCAGAAGAAGCACCGGCUAACUCCGUGCCAGCAGCCGCGGUAAUACGGAGGGUGCAAGCGUUAAUCGGAAUUACUGGGCGUAAAGCGCACGCAGGCGGUCUGUCAAGUCGGAUGUGAAAUCCCCGGGCUCAACCUGGGAACUGCAUUCGAAACUGGCAGGCUUGAGUCUCGUAGAGGGGGGUAGAAUUCCAGGUGUAGCGGUGAAAUGCGUAGAGAUCUGGAGGAAUACCGGUGGCGAAGGCGGCCCCCUGGACGAAGACUGACGCUCAGGUGCGAAAGCGUGGGGAGCAAACAGGAUUAGAUACCCUGGUAGUCCACGCCGUAAACGAUGUCUAUUUGGAGGUUGUGCCCUUGAGGCGUGGCUUCCGGAGCUAACGCGUUAAAUAGACCGCCUGGGGAGUACGGCCGCAAGGUUAAAACUCAAAUGAAUUGACGGGGGCCCGCACAAGCGGUGGAGCAUGUGGUUUAAUUCGAUGCAACGCGAAGAACCUUACCUGGUCUUGACAUCCACAGAACUUGGCAGAGAUGCCUUGGUGCCUUCGGGAACUGUGAGACAGGUGCUGCAUGGCUGUCGUCAGCUCGUGUUGUGAAAUGUUGGGUUAAG